rnacentral:lncRNA from 1 species
AUGUGUUUCAAAGGUGCGUCAUUUGCCCAGGUUAUGACAGAUCCGAGUAUAGAGUCAGCAGAAGUGAUCCGUCUUAAAGCGGAAAACAGCCUGCUUGAAGAUCAAUUAGAACGUCUCACCGCCAAUUACACUGCAAUAAUUCAACAUCUCACCGCAAAUUACACUGCAACAGAUCAACAUCUCACCGCAAAUUUCACUGCAACGAUAACAACUUUGUCCAAUAAACAAGAAAGUUGCUAUUCUAACAUAUAUUACGACUGAUUACAGGUUUUGAAAGGAAUGAAUAUAAGAGAGAAAUUAAUGAAUUCAUAAUCACAUUAAAAAGUUCAAAAAUAGUUGUGCAAACGAGCCCCUGGUAAAAAUGGCAAGUGUCAGGCUAGUUUUUUCUCCUAUUUGAAGACGAGAUUCAGUGUACAAGCAUAAAGUAGUUCAGGAAAAUGGCGGAACCGGUUGAUCCGCUUUGAAUUCCGGAGGAUUCCCGCACUUCAAGCGCGAGAAACUGACAAGAUUUGAAGAAGAGUCGUCUCGAGGGAUGCCAAAUCAUGAGCAUCGAUUCUCGAAAUAAGUGUCUAACGCUACGAAAAUCCCCAUUAAUAGAGUAACGAGCAAGUCUCCUUUUAUAAAUUGGACAUAGAGUCCAAUUUGGAGACGAGAUUCAAUGUACAAGCAUAAAGUAGCUGAGGAAAAUGGCGGAAUCGGUUGAUCCCUUUUGAAUUUAGGAGAAUUCCCGCACUUCAAGCGCGAGGAACUGACAAGAUUUGAAGAAGAGUCGUCUCGAGGGAUGCCAAAUCAUGAGCAUCGAUUCUCGAAAUAAGUGUCUAACGCUACGAAAAUCCCUACUAAUAGACUAACGAGCAAGUCUCCUUUUAUAAAUUGGACAUGGAUUGUCCAAUUUGGAAACGAGAUUCAAUGUACAAGCAUAAAGUAGCUGAGGAAAAUGGCGGAAUCGGUUGAUCCCUUUUGAAUUUAGGAGAAUUCCCGCACUUCAAGCGCGAGAAACUGACAAGAUUUGAAGAAGAGUCGUCUCGAGGGAUGCCAAAUCAUGAGCAUCGAUUCUCGAAAUAAGUGUCUAACGCUACGAAAAUCCCCAUUAAUAGAGUAACGAGCAAGUCUCCUUUUAUAAAUUGGACAUAGAGUCCAAUUUGGAGACGAGAUUCAAUGUACAAGCAUAAAGUAGCUGAGGAAAAUGGCGGAAUCGGUUGAUCCCUUUUGAAUUUAGGAGAAUUCCCGCACUUCAAGCGCGAGGAACUGACAAGAUUUGAAGAAGAGUCGUCUCGAGGGAUGCCAAAUCAUGAGCAUCGAUUCUCGAAAUAAGUGUCUAACGCUACGAAAAUCCCUAUUAAUAGACUAACGAGCAAGUCUCAUUUUAUAAAUUGGACAUGGAUUGUCCAAUUUGGAGACGAGAUUCAAUGUACAAGCAUAAAGUAGAUGAGGAAAAUGGCGGAACCGGUUGAUCCGUUUUGAAUUCCGGAGAAUUCCCGCACUUCAAGCGCGAGAAACUGACAUGAUAUGAAGAAGAGUCGCCUCGAGGGAUGCCAAAUCAUGAGCAUCGAUUCUCGAAAUAAGUGUCUAUAGCUACGAAAAUCCCCAUUAAUAGAGUAACGCGGAAGUGUCAUUAUAAAGGAUGGACAUGGAUUGUCCUACUCGGAGACGAGAUUCAGUGUACAAGCAUAAAGUAUUUGAGGGAAAUGACGGAUCCGGUUGAUCCGGUUCAAAUCCCGGAGAAUUCUUGAUCUUCGCGCGCGAGGACUAGACAAGAUUUGAAGAAGAGUGGUCCCGAGGGAUGCCGCGUUGCUGGCUGACAGUGAAUUUAUAUUU